rnacentral:rRNA from 1 species
CCCGGUGCAAGUGCGUAGGUAUGCUCCGCAGGCAAAUCCGCGGGGAUGAGUCGAGACACGAGUCCGUGGGCGCAAGCCCUGAAGCUGUUGAGCCACGGCUGCCAAGAAAAGCUUCUAAGUUUAGAUCGCGCGAACCGUACCGCAGACCAACUCAGGUGGAUGGGAUGAAUAAUCCAAGGCGCUCGAGAGAACUCUGGCCAAGGAACUCGGCAAAUUGACCCCGUACCUUCGGAAUAAGGGGUGCUCCCCAUGGUGAGGCAGAUUCCUGCUCAGCCUCAGGGAGCCGCAGAGAAAUGGUGGUGGCGACUGUUUACUAAAAACAUAGGUCUGUGCGAAGUCCUACAGACGACGUAUACGGACUGACGCCUGCCCGGUGCCGGAAGGUUAAAAGGAGGAGUCAGCGCAAGCGAAGCUCCGAUUUGAAGCCCCGGUAAACGGCGGCCGUAACGAUAACGGUCCUAAGGUAGCGAAAUUCCUUGUCGGGCAAGUUCCGACCUGCGCGAAUGGCGUAACGAUCUCCACGCUGUCUCGGCCAGAGACUCGGUGAAAUUGAAGUCGCGGUGAAAAUGCCGUGUACCCGCAGAAAGACGGAAAGACCCUGUGCACCUUUACUAUAGCUUGACAUUGGGUUUUGAACCUGCAUGUGUAGGAUAGGUGGGAGGCUGUGAAAGCUGUACGCCAGUAUGGCCGGAGCCACCCGUGAAAUACCACCCUUGUUUGUUCAGGACCCUAACUCGCAGCUGUAAUCCAGCGCGAAGACAGUGUCUGGUGGGUAGUUUGACUGGGGCGGUCGCCUCCUAAAGAGUAACGGAGGCAUGCAAAGGUUCCCUCAGGCUGAUUGGGAACCAGCCGUUGAGUGCAAGCGCAUAAGGGAGCUUGACUGCAAGAGAGACAUCUCGAACAGAUACGAAAGUAGGUGCUAGUGAUCCGGUGGUCCCGAAUGGAAGGGCCAUCGUUCAUUGGAUAAAAGGUACGCCGGGGAUAACAGGCUGAUCGCAUCCAAGAGUUCACAUCGACGAUGCGGUUUGGCACCUCGAUGUCGGCUCAUCACAUCCUGGGGCUGAAGCAGGUCCCAAGGGUACGGCUGUUCGCCGUUUAAAGUGGUACGCGAGCUGGGUUUAAAACGUCGUGAGACAGUUUGGUCCCUAUCUUCUGUGGGCGUAGGAGAAUUGAGAGGGUUUGUCCCUAGUACGAGAGGACCGGGAUGAACGCACCACUGGUGGAUCAGUUGUCGCGCCAGCGGCAUAGCUGAGUAGCUAUGUGCGGAAUGGAUAACCGCUGAAAGCAUCUAAGCGGGAAGCCAGCCUCGAGAUAAGUUCUCCCUGUCGCAAGACACUAAAGGGCCGAUGAAGACUACAUCGUUGAUAGGCCGGAGGUGGAAGCGCUGCGAAGCGUGGAGCUGACCGGUACUAAUAGCCCGUGCGCCU